AUUGAACGCUGGCGGCAGGCCUAACACAUGCAAGUCGAGCGAGCGGCGGACGGGUGAGUAAUGUAUGGGGACUGCCCGAUAGAGGGGGAUAACUACUGGAAACGGUGGCUAAUACCGCAUACUAUCGGAUAACCCAUAUGGGAUUAGCUCGUAGGUGGGGUAAAGGCUCACCUAGGCGACGAUCUCUAGCUGGUCUGAGAGGAUGAUCAGCCACACUGGGACGGAGACACGGCCCAGACUCCUACGGAGGCAGCAGGGGGGAAUAUUGGACAAUGGGCGAAAGCCUGAUGCAGCCAUGCCGCUGGGAUGAAGAAGGCCUUAGGGUGGUAAAGUACUUUCAGCGGGGAGGCGUUACCCGCAGAAGAAGCACCGGCUAACUACGUGCCAGCAGCCGCGGUAAUUC
rnacentral:rRNA from 1 species